UAUUGUUUUCACACGGAUCCACCUUUCCCCUUCCUUCUCUCUCAUCUCUCUCACAACUCACAUCUCACCAGAUCUCAUCCGCCCCCAACUCCAUGCUUUCUCUCUCCCAGGCGAUUUCCAGAUCUAGGGUUUCAAUAACCCUGAAUCGUUCAUUUUCUCUCAAUCCGACAGAAGAUCCAGUGGGGUUGACCUCUAGAUCCACUGGGUUUUUCUCUAAUCGGCGUUUUGCAACAUUCGGCUUUUGAUUCGUGUGUCUGACCUCCUGGUUCCGUUUUCCGGCUUUUAUUGGCGUUUUGCAACAUUCGGCUUUUGAUUCGUGUGUCUGGUUUAGUACCGAUGGGGAUUCGGCUUUUGAUUCGUGUCUGAUUCGUGUGUUGGUGUUGGAUUCGUGUGUGUGAUGAAGAUGGAGCAGUGGAGAUACACAAUCCUGGGGAACUAACCUCAUGAAAGAAUGAAACUGGUUUCAAGUAGCAUUGGUUAUUGU